GAUGAAGAACGCAGCGAAAUGCGAUAAGUAAUGUGAAUUGCAGAAUUCAGUGAAUCAUCGAAUCUUUGAACGCACAUUGCGCCCCCUGGUAUUCCGGGGGGCAUGCCUGUCCGAGCGUCAUUACAACCCUCAAGCUCAGCUUGGUGUUGGGCCCCGCCGCCCCGGCGGGCCCUAAAGUCAGUGGCGGUGCCGUCCGGCUCCGAGCGUAGUAAUUCUUCUCGCUCUGGAGGUCCGGUCGUGUGCUCGCCAGCAACCCCCCAUUUUUUUCAGGUUGACCUCGGAUCAGGUAGGGAUACCCGCUGAACUUAAGCAUAUCAAUAAGCGGAGGA
rnacentral:misc_RNA from 1 species